AUCUCGACCUCCUUGCAAAUCGCAUCACAGAUCAAACACGGCUUGUAUAUUAAACGUAACCUGCUAAGGCAUCCUGUCGACUGCUUAUCUACUGUCCAUGUUUGACGAUCGUGUCUUGGCUUCAACGAUGUUUUCCAAAUGUUUUCGAAACGAAAUUUUCGCAUCAAUACUUUUGCAAGCAGUAGCUACUGGUGUUUGAUAUCUCAAUAUACGUAACAGAGUAAUGGGAAUGCACACGCAUUAGUUCUGUUCCUGAAACGUAGUCAAGGAUGCAAAAUUGAACUUUCUACGAAUAUACGCUCCAGUAGAGAACAUGUGACGAAAGCGUUUACCGCAUUAAUAAGAUCUAUUGAAAGAUCGUGUAGUGAAUUUGCAUGCAUACGAUUCGAGACUUAAAUAUAUUAUUAUUAACAAAAAAAAUUGGAAAAUAAUUUUGAUUUUUACGGUAUUAUGAUCGAUUGACUUAGUUAAAAUAAUUUGAUUAGCAAAGAAUUUGCGAAUUAAAGGAUUAAAAUUAAAGGAUAUGCAAUUUACGCACUCUAUAAAUUUUGAGGUUAAAUAAAUAAUACAACAGACAUCCACAUAUCCAUAAACGAAGACUCACCUGACUCAAAGGACGAAUCCUUUCAUGAAUAGAUUUCUCAGCUUGCAUAGCAGAAGGUGGUGGAUGAUCAGGCGUCGGAGGUUG